ensembl:lncRNA
GUUCCCUUUCAUGACAAUAGAUGUGUUGUAUUAGAUUAAAGAAGGCUUUUGCUUAACUUUGACAGUUGUGUUCAUCAGUUGUUCUGCCUUCUCCAACCACCUUGAGGCGAAAGUAUAUACAUGGCACUAUAACUUCCUUUUUUAGCUUGGUCAAGCUUGCAGCCAACCCACCAUCCAUGUUCUCUGCACUUUCUGUUCCUUGUAUUUCUCUGUUUCAGAUUGCUGUGUCAUUACAAACCUUCCAAGCAGACCUCAAGCAUCACCCAAGUGACCGUCUCCCUUAACUGCAUCUUUAAUCUUUAAUUACCAAGCAUCUCACUCAUGUCUUGGGCAAAGCACAUCCUGAUUUUGCUGAGUUAGAUGUGUUCCUAGGUCAACAUAUUUUGUUGAUAAGAUGUUGAUCCAGAAACAUGUUGUACUUGAUAAAAUCAGGUUCUGUCUUGGGAAAAAAAUCCGCAAAGUUGGUUUGCCACUCAGUCUUUGUCCUGUCAUUCAAGUUUUUAUAAUGUUAAAUAUUGUUAUAGCACAAAUCUAUGUUUCUGUGCCACUUACCUAAAUCUCCCAGCAUCAAGAGGAAGCUGGAGGAGUGGCCAUGGAAACCACAGCCUGUGAUACGAGUCAAGCAAAAUUGAAAGCAUUUUAGAGCACACAUAUUUAUCUCAAAGCUCAGCAUAACAACAGAUUAAAGAUGGAGAACUACGAGCAUGCUGUGUUUUUUGAGGCAAAGAGUCUUUCAGAUGAGGAACUUCGACAAAUACAAAUAUACUUUAAAAUCAAGAGAAGGUCUGGGGGAGGGGACUGUGAGAUCUACAAAGUGGGUAACAGCACCUACAAGAUAAGUUUUAGGAACAAAAAUGCCCAGGAAAGAGUACUAGAACGAAAUCAUCAUGUCAUUAGAGUAGAAGGACAAGAGGACAUCCAUGUAUUAAUAAGACAUGAAAAUGUCGCUGAAAGCAGUGAACAACCUACAGCAUCUGUAAAUCAGGUAAAUGGCACAGUCACAAAACAAACAGAGAUUCAGCUUUGAUUUAUAUAUGUGCUGUACCUUGUUUCCUGCUGAUGCAAGGUGGUCAGACCUGUUUUUCAGAAACCAGUAGGGAGACGACUCUCUGCAUAAAGUAAAUACCUCGAACAGUUCUCGGAAAUCACCUGCUAUGCAUAACUUGACAAUAAGGAAGGUCUAGAACUACAGUAUAUAAUAUUGACAGGAAAUAACAUUAUAUUUUGAUAAUAUGCUAAUUUUGCUGAAUAUGUUUUUGUGCUGGUACCUUGACUGGUUUAGGCCUGUCAUGGACAGCUGACACUCAAAGACUGUCAUAUUCUUUAUAUUCUGUGCCGUCAUUGGUCUACAGAAAUGAUACUUGAAGAGAAUGUUGUGCUCCAACUGAGUAAAAAUCAAGCUGCUUCAGGUGUGAAGAGCCCAAAAAAUUAAAUGCAAAGAAAGAUAUCACUAACCCUUAAAACAGUCUAGGUAAAUGCUCUUGUUUUUAAUUCACUUACGCUCUUCAAUCUUUGAACUAUAUUAUUUGAACUAUGUAGUUGAACUAUAUAGUUGACCUUCUCCAGUUUGGAUCUAGCUGUGUGCACAGGGCCUUUUUUGGUCUGAAGUGCACCCUCUUGUGACCAUCGUGCACUCCAACAACCCUAUAUUAAGCAAAAUAAUUUCUGACAGUUAAAGUCCCCAUGAAAUCAAAAUUAAAUUUUUUUGGGUGUUAGUAUCAAUAUGUUAGUCUUAAGGUUAUCUAUAAAGUAGUGUGCUCCAAAACAGUGUCAAAAUUUGCAUUUAGAAGAUAUAAGCAUUCAAAGCUAGCAGUUCAUCACUUCCGCCAAAAUGGCUCAAUGUUUUUUUUUUUUUUUUUAACAUCACAUCAUACUUCACUUUCUCAUCAAAUCUUCUGACCAAUCAAAUGCUCUCUAGAAUCCGAGGCGCCCACCCCCUGCACUAUAAAUAGAUGCUGAGAUCUGUCACUUGUUCAUAGUGUAGUAUUUCCUGCACAGUGAAUGGCUCGUAGUGAACAAUGUAGGUG